GGGCUGAGCCAUGAGCUGGGUGGGGGGACGGUUCAAGCUUAAGGGAUCCUGUGCCCACCUAGCUCUGCCCCCGGCUCCCCCGUGGCUUCUCCCCGGCCCAUCAUAACCGUGCUGUCUUUGCUGUCCUGCUCUGUCCUCUUGCCCCGUCUGCCAGCUCCGGGCAUCUCAGGGCCUGGCCACGUGAUGGGCCCAGUGGGAAUGGCUCUGGGUGUUCCCGAGCCUGGCACACAGACAGGCCCUGUCCCUGCUGCUUACUCUGCCAUCUUUCCUGAUAGUUUCCAUCAAGGGGAGUUGACCGGCCCUACUUUUCCUCUCCAUGUCCCACAGCUGUCCCUGUCUUUGCCGGAGACUUCUAGAACUUCCAGAUUGAAGGGAAUGCUCAAUGGCUCCAUACUGCCCUCAGGAGAAACUCCUGGAGGACAGGGCAGCCUUGUUAGUGUUUCCAUGUCACCACGGCGGAAUCUGAGGCCCAGGAGACUUGACAGGGCUCCCAGACCCAGAAAAAGGGAGCCAGAACAAGAGAUCCCAGAACACGGGAAAGACGGCUGUGGCUGAAGUCGUAUCUGGGUUAAAACCCCAGGAGUGCUCCUCUUUAAUUUUUUGGUACAGCAGGAUCAAGGAAUCGAUUCACUCUGGUUAUGCUUCCUCCCAUUGUUUCUGUGGGCCGUGUUUGAUCUGUGUUUCACGUGUAGAUCUGCUAUCCACGCUCUGAAAGAAAUAAUAUAUUCUGCGUUGCACUGGGUCAGGCUCAACCAUGAAAGCCCCUUUUAUUUUAUUUUUUUUUAUUUUUUGGAUGAUUUCAAAGACACACACACACGCACACAUACACACGAGCACACAGGCGUAUAUACAUGCGCG
rnacentral:lncRNA from 12 species